CUGACAAACACAUAUACACUCUCACUAACACACACUCACUAACAGACACGUACACACAAGCUAACAGACACACACAUUUACUGACAGACACACCCUCAGUGACAUACAUACACACUCACUUACAAAACAUACACUUUCACUGACACACACUCACUAACAGACACCAAACAGACUCACUAACAGACACACACACUCAAUAACAGACACACACAAACUAACACACUCAGUAACAGACACACACACAGAAAC